GACGAACGCUGGCGGCGUGCUUAACACAUGCAAGUCGAACGGAAAGGCCCUGCUUUUUUGGGGUGCUCGGGUGGCGAGCGGAUGAGUAACAAGUACGUAACUUGCCCUUGCCUUUGGGAUAACUUACGGCAACUGGGGCUAAUACCUGCUAGGAGUUCCUGCUGCCUGGCGGGGGUUGGUUUGUUUCGGCGGUUGGGGAUGGACUCGCGGUGUAUCGGCUUGUUGGUGGGGUCGUGGCGUAGCAGGGCUGAGACGGGUCGCCGGCCUGAGUGGGUGGCCGGCCGGAUUGGGACUGUAAGACGGCCCAGACUCGGACGGGAGGCAGCAGUGGCGAAUGUUGCACGAUGGGCGGAAGCCUGAUGCAGCAACGCCGCGGGCGUGAGGACCGCCUUCGGGUUGUAAACCGGUUUCGCCUUUUACGGAGCGGGUGUGACGGGAUUGGGUAAAGAAGCACCGGCUAACUACGUG
rnacentral:rRNA from 1 species